AGAGUUUGAUCCUGGCUCAGGACGAACGCUGGCGGCGCGCCUAACACAUGCAAGUCGAACGGAGCUUAGAGAGCUUGCUUUUUAAGCUUAGUGGCGAACGGGUGAGUAACGCGUGAGUAACCUGCCCUAGAGUGGGGGACAACAGUUGGAAACGACUGCUAAUACCGCAUAAGCCCACGGUGCCGCAUGGUACAGAGGGAAAAGGAGCAAUCCGCUUUGAGAUGGCCUCGCGUCCGAUUAGCUAGUUGGUGAGGUAACGGCCCACCAAGGCGACGAUCGGUAGCCGGACUGAGAGGUUGAACGGCCACAUUGGGACUGAGACACGGCCCAGACUCCUACGGGAGGCAGCAGUGGGGGAUAUUGCACAAUGGGGGAAACCCUGAUGCAGCGACGCCGCGUGGAGGAAGAAGGUCUUCGGAUUGUAAACUCCUGUUGUUGAGGAAGAUAAUGACGGUACUCAACAAGGAAGUGACGGCUAACUACGUGCCAGCAGCCGCGGUAAAACGUAGGUCACAAGCGUUGUCCGGAAUUACUGGGUGUAAAGGGAGCGCAGGCGGGAAGACAAGUUGGAAGUGAAAUCCAUGGGCUCAACCCAUGAACUGCUUUCAAAACUGUUUUUCUUGAGUAGUGCAGAGGUAGGCGGAAUUCCCGGUGUAGCGGUGGAAUGCGUAGAUAUCGGGAGGAACACCAGUGGCGAAGGCGGCCUACUGGGCACCAACUGACGCUGAGGCUCGAAAGUGUGGGUAGCAAACAGGAUUAGAUACCCUGGUAGUCCACACCGUAAACGAUGAUUACUAGGUGUUGGAGGAUUGACCCCUUCAGUGCCGCAGUUAACACAAUAAGUAAUCCACCUGGGGAGUACGACCGCAAGGUUGAAACUCAAAGGAAUUGACGGGGGCCCGCACAAGCAGUGGAGUAUGUGGUUUAAUUCGAAGCAACGCGAAGAACCUUACCAGGUCUUGACAUCCGAUGCAUAGCACAGAGAUGUGUGAAAUCCUUCGGGACAUCGAGACAGGUGGUGCAUGGUUGUCGUCAGCUCGUGUCGUGAGAUGUUGGGUUAAGU
rnacentral:rRNA from 1 species